ensembl:lncRNA
CAGGUGCUAUGGAGGAGGCAGCAGAGACUCUGCUCUCCUCGUUUGGAUUAAUUCUGAUAUAAUAACUGUUGGUUUAUUUAUCAGUGGAGCAGCAGAACAUUUUCCACAGACAGUUUUCCUGCCCGUUGGCUUGUUUUAACCAGUUUUCUACCUUCGGCCGAUUCUACCAGCAGACACUGAAAGGACUCUGAUAGUUCGUCUGUUGCUGCUCACAUUCUUCACAUUUAUUGUCCACUUUUAAAAGUUCAGCAGACGGGUGCUCUGCUUUGGAGUGUGACGAUGUCGUUGGUGAUGUGGAGAGUGAAGUUUCCGUUUCACCCACAGCGUGCUUUAGGGCAGCCGGGUCGGACUUGAUGUUUGAAAUACAGAUCGACAGCUCAGAUUUAACUGUAUGUAGUUCCGUUUUGAUGGGUGUUAAACUUUCACUCGAAGCCGCCAGGAGCUGGGUCUUUGAAAUAACCGCCGUCUCGUUACAG